CUCGAGGCCAGAUCUAGAGUUUGAUCCUGGCUGAGGACGAACGCUGGCGGCGUGCUUAACACAUGCAAGUCGAACGAUGAAGCCCAGCUUGCUGGGUGGAAGAGUGGCGAACGGGUGAGUAACACGUGAGUAACCUGCCCUGAACUCUGGGAUAAGCACUGGAAACGGUGUCUAAUACUGGAUACGACCUAUCACCGCAUGGUGUGUGGGUGGAAAGAUUUAUCGGUUUUGGAUGGACUCGCGGCCUAUCAGCUAGAUGGUGAGGUAAUGGCUCACCAUGGCGACGACGGGUAGCCGGCCUGAGAGGGUGACCGGCCACACUAGGACUGAGACACGGCCCAGACUCCUACGGGAGGCAGCAGUGGGGAAUAUUGCACAAUGGGCGCAAGCCUGAUGCAGCAACGCCGCGUGAGGGAUGACGGCCUUCGGAUUGUAAACCUCUUUUAGUAGGGAAGAAGCGAAAGUGACGGUACCUGCAGAAAAAGCACCGGCUAACUACGUGCCAGCAGCCGCGGUAAUACGUAGGGUGCAAGCGUUGUCCGGAAUUAUUGGGCGUAAA
rnacentral:rRNA from 1 species